GACGAACGCUGGCGGCGUGCUUAACACAUGCAAGUCGAACGGAAAGGCCCUGCUUUUGUGGGGUGCUCGAGUGGCGAACGGGUGAGUAACACGUGAGUAACCUGCCCUUGACUUUGGGAUAACUUCAGGAAACUGGGGCUAAUACCGGAUAGGAGCUCCUGCUGCAUGGUGGGGGUUGGAAAGUUUCGGCGGUUGGGGAUGGACUCGCGGCUUAUCAGCUUGUUGGUGGGGUAGUGGCUUACCAAGGCUUUGACGGGUAGCCGGCCUGAGAGGGUGACCGGCCACAUGGGGACUGAGAUAGGGCCCAGACUCCUACGGGAGGCAGCAGUGGGGAAUACUGCACAAUGGGCGGAAGCCUGAUGCAGCAACGCCGCGUGCGGGAUGACGGCCUUCGGGUUGUAAACCGCUUUCGCCUGUGACGAAGCGUGAGUGACGGUAAUGGGUAAAGAAGCACCGGCUAACUACGUG
rnacentral:rRNA from 1 species